rnacentral:lncRNA from 1 species
UUCUCUAAGGUCCUGCAUAAAUUGGUUGAGGUGUUUCUCAAGUGCUUGUAUACAAUAAACGAGGGAUCAAGUUAGCUUAAUGUACAUUUUCUUACUGAAAUUUGACUGCAAUAGAACUCAAUAUAACCUGAUGAGUUAUCUAUUAAAUGUAUCAGAUAUUAUUUAGGUGCAAUCAAGGAACUUGAGUUGCACUAAUAUAUUUGAACUGACCCUAGGAGAGUGUGGUAAUAUUAUUUACUAUAACAUUUGAACUGAAAGUAUUUGGAAUCCUAUGUGAUUCCAUAGAUCACUAAACUUCUAUUCGCUGAAUAGCUUUAAACAAGUUAAGCAAGUAAAUACACGAGAAAACAGGAAACCACACCAUUUCCAUUUCUAUUUUAAUUUUUUCGGACCCAAAAAUAUCCUGGUGGUGCGGGCUGAGGAGUUCACAAAUCAAAUCAUAAUCAUUAAUUUGUUAUCUUUACUGUUUGACCAAAAAAUAUUAAGUCAUUUUGUUAAAUUAACUAAAUGAGAUGAUAGAGGGUAAAUCCUAGUUAAAUAUAAUAAAUCUUAGAUCUGAAAUUGGUUAAUACAAAUAAUGGAUAAUUGCAUUUGAACCAAUUUAAUAUAAAGGGAUAUUAAAUGGUACUGUUAUAACCUUGUGGGAGAAUAACGAUAAGCAAUCAAUAUAUUAAAUGACAAUAAAUAUAAAUAGAGAGAAUGAUUCAAAUAUUAAAUGAGAUGGAUGAAUCUCCCUCUGAAUCAUGUAAGGUAAACAAACAUGGGAAUAUAAGGAGCUUUCUCGGAUCUGAUGCGAGAUAGUGGGAUGAACAACAAAUCGAAUCUUUAUGUAAAGAUAAUGCUUGUAAUUUACAUGAGAGUCCAUUUUUCAUGAGAGAACUUAUCAUAUAGAAUAUUACAUGCCCCCUUCUUCUCUCUUCCUUCCCCCUUAUAUAAGACAUAUCAUUUACCUAUCUUAAAUUACAAGUACAGAGAAUAUUCAGUAGAAUAUUUCCCUAAAACAUUUUACUACAAAACUAGCCGUUAUGGCUGACCAGAAUUCCUAACCUCGACCCCGAUUAAUCAGCUCGUCCAUUGAUUUCUUUAAUCUUGUGCAAGAUCUCGGCCUAAUCGCCUACCGAUAAUCUAAUCUCAUGCUAGUUUUCCUUAGUCAUAUUUUUACCCAUACAGUUAGUCCUUCCGCCUGUCGAUGUUGGUUUUGGACGAGAUCAAUAGGCAGACUUUGCUAGUUACCACUUGAGAAAUCUGGGUGAGUAGGUCGAGUAAUAAAGUUCUCGGGGCGAGAUGAUGACAUGGUGCUAUAAGAGGCACAUAUGACAGUUAUGUAAGUUUGCAAUGACAUUAUUUCAUUAUGUGUUAUUAUGGCUUAUGUUCCCAAUACGUUAUAUCGUUUCCUGCACCCUUACCUCUUUAGAAUCAAUGUGGCGGCGCUUGGACUUCUCGAUUGGGGUUCUAAUGAUCUUAUAAAUAGGGAUGAGAACUCCCUAUUUGGCCUGCUGCACUUCUUAGGCAUUUGAAUCUUCAAGCUUUCCCAUCUUCUUCUCAGAACUUUUGCAUCCUUGUUUCUCCCUUCUCCAACGUUUCCUGCUAUUAUUACCCCUUUCAUACUUGCAAUUUUCUUCCUAUAUACGUGAUUAGAAAUGGGAGUGCAUCUUCUAACCCCAAGGGAGUUUUUUAUCUUGUCCUAUUCACUGUGUACAAGCCUCCUCAUGACGAAGGAGUGUCCAUUAUUGUAGAAGACGAGAGUUUCCCCACUAUAGAUGAGAUAAUUCCUCAUUCGAGGAAGACCAGGUCGGACUUCUCAAAGCGACUUGAGGAGGAUCCUGAGCCUGACAUUUCUGAGAUAGAUGCGACAGGGCUUAUUAAAUUUAGGGCUAAAGGGCGAAUUCCAGACCAUGUCGACCUUAUCCCGGUUGGUAAUAAUUUUCAUUCUAUUUUCAGCAGCACAUGGCACCCCUAAAAGGCUACAUAUAUACCAUUCUUUCACACAAAAAGGUCAGAGAUUGAGACCCUGAAAAUACAAAAGGUUUCAUGCAUUCUUUUCCUUGAGUUUGGCUCCAAUUUCUUCUUUCUGGUUUUUCUUUUAGUACUUAAAAGGCUUUUCAUAGAAUUUCUUGUCUUCUUGGUCAAAAAAGGGGUUCAAAUAAGGUGAGUCUUGCUGCUGAUUCGUUGCUAGGCUCCUGCAUUUUGCUAUUGUUGAAUUUAUUUUGAUAUCCGGGUACUUCUUGGACCAUGAAUGACAUGAAUAUGUACUCCAAUGUGGAGAUAUAAUAAUACAUGUUGCCUAUUGAACUCUAUUCACAUGUUCUUUAAGCUCAUUUAGUCUCUGUAGUAGUUUUAGCGUUCCUUUUAUGUGUUUUUAACUCAUUCAUGUUACUUAUUUUGCAUCUCAUCUUGAAGUUUGGAUUAGGAUCUUAGUUUAUUACGCUGGCUUGUGAUUUGGCUAAAAAUCCCCUUUUUGAGUAUAUAUAAUGCUUAAACUUUCUGUAGCAUGGGUCUAAGUUAGAUGAUGAACAUCUUCUAUUGAUUUUGUUUAAAUUUGUUUAUGUCAAUGUUGAUUCUCGAUUCAAGGUUGGUCCAUAUCAUAAUUUCGUUAGUUUAUUUCCUUUUAGAAUCUGGUUUCGAGUAUUUGAGUUCUUUUUAAGAGCCAUAAUAAUUUGAGCAAGAAGUUAUUUGUUUGAUAAUUACUAUAUAUUUCCAAGUUAAACUAUUUAGGUUUUGCGUACUGCUAGGAUAGUUGUACCUGUUAAUUCAGCAUAAUUAAUGAGUAGUUUAAAUCCUAGAUGUAUAUUACUAACAUUAAUAAUAAAACAACAUUUCUUUUUAGACGUAUAACAUGGUUAUCUGGGUGUUGUGGUAUUUGGGGCUUGCAUAUCAUAUUGUUGCAUGUUGAUUGUAGUUAGGUAGGUCUGGCCAGUUUUUGUUAGGCCUCAGAUAUUUCCACUCCUCUAUUUGGGGUCGAUUUCAAGCCUCACACCCAUCAACUCUGAUACCCCCACCCCACUCCACCCCACCCCCACACACAGAAACAGUUUAAAUAAUGUAUUGGUCCUGGACAUGUGGCCCCCUUGGAAAUGGACAACCGUCUGCCUGGCCAUAUUUCUGGGUUCAUUUUGAGCCUAGUUUACCUUUUCAAUUAUUUCUUUGGGCGUAAGCUCAAACCAAAAUUAGCUCUAAAUAAUUAACGGCCCAUCAUGUACCCCAAACCUUAUUACUAAUAGUUAUACAUUAAUUUUAAAUCAUUUGUAAGUAGGAAUAUCCUUUAGGCCUAAUUAAGUGUAACUCUUUUAAUUGUAUUGAGGUGUGCCGUCCUAAUUAAAUCACUUAUGGCCCUCUUAUUAAGUAUUAUAAGUUAGACACUAAAAAUGAAUUUUGUAUGGCGCGUUAACUAAAUAAAUUAUCAUAGCUACGGUACGCCUCCCGUGACGUAGUUGUAAUACAUAAUUCUCAAAUCCAGGUGUACAUUUCAUGCGACCCAACUUCUAAUAAUAAAAACAAACAUGUCUGAACCGCGGGCGCAUUUAAUGUAGCGUAUUUUAUGAUGCAUUUUCAAAAAAAACAAACAAGUGUAUGACGAUCAAGAAUUUUUCCUAAAAAUAUUAAAAGCAGCUUUAAAAGGGACAAAAUACACAUAGGCUUCAAAAAUGUUUAAAAUCAGAUAAAUAGGCCAAUAAUAAUAGUUGAGCACCCGUGCUAAAACCACGAAACCCAGGAAUGCCUAAUGUCACACCUCCUUUUCACCCGGGAAGAGGAAAAAAGGAGUUUUUCCAAUUUAAGUGACAUUAUUUGAAAUGAGAUUGAUUUAUUUGUAUUUAAGCGUCGCCCCUUGGAAUGAAUAUUUACGAUAUCCCAAGUCACCAUUUUAAAAUCCUAAUCAAGAAAAUUGUCUCUGAUUAAGCCUGCGAAAUACAGAAGAACGGGUAAGGAAUUCUGUUAACUUGGAAAAAGGUAUAAGACACUCGCGAAUUUCCAUGGUUCUAGCAUGGUCACUUUAAUAAUUAUACCUGAUUUAACUAAUUUUGGAUAUUUUAUGUUCUAGAGAAAUUUAUGCACUUUUGCCUUAAACCGCUUUUAAUUGCUUGAUUUCUUGUAAUUACAUAAUUAUCUUGAAAUGAAUCACGCGUACGUGUAUUCAUUUUGUUUGGUGUGUCAGGAAUCAUGUCAUGCGUACGUGUACACAAUUGAUAACACUUUAUAAUUAUUAAAAAUAUAUGACCAAAGUCAUGCAAAUGUGUACCUUAGUUUUCUUUUGAAAAUCGACGCUUCAAUCACGUCAUGCGUAUAUAUACGCAAUCACAAUAAUAAAUUAAAAGCGCGCCUAGAAGCAUACUACUGGUGUUCAUUAUUAUUUUCCUAAGCUUGGGAUAUUAUGAAGCUAUAAUUUAUGGAGGAAAUAAUAUAAUGUAUUUAGUAAGCUAAUGAGCCAAAGGACUAUUUGUGCUUUCAAUAUACGUAAUUCUAGUGAACUGCACAUCUGAAAAAUUGAAAAAUCGAAUAAGGAUAGUGAUAUUAAAAGCAAAAGAAUGUCCACACGUCGCCAAGACUUUAUUAACUCAUAUUUGUUAAACAAAACAAGAUUUGAAAUUUUUGAACUUCUGCUCAUGUUCCAAAUAAUAUGUAACUUGAAUUUUCAAUUAUAAAGAACUAAAGAUAAACAGAUUUUUAAGAACUACAACAGUAAUCUACAAGCCAAACUAGCAAGAUAACCAAAUGACAAAAAUCAAUAUCACAAUGAAUAAACUUCACAAAUUUUUUUAUUCAAACGAUAUAUUCAUAUGUAUAGCAAUCAAAAACUUAAACGAGUAGAAGGAUGAACCUCAAUGGAGAAAAUUUCUUUCAUGCUAAUAGUGAAUCUUCGACGUCAGAUUACAAUGAAACGCCUACAAGCUUGAAAGCGAGCAGGACAUUGACUGUAGCCAUACCAUACGACCUCGCUAAUUCGACCGCAAACCUACACCUACGACCUCGACGGAACUCGAACUCGAAAAUGCUGCUGAGUUAUUUAGAAAAGAUGAUUGUUUUAAGGUAUUUUCAUGUGGUUGUUUGGCUUGUUUCUGGGCUGGUUGGGGUGUUUUGCGGGUGGAGAAAAGGGGCUAUUGGCUGUGUUUA